GACGUAGGGGGCGAGCGUUAUCCGGAUUGAUUGGGUGUAAAGGGUGAGUAGGCGGUUAACUAAGUCAUAUGUUAAAAAUUACAGCUCAACUGUAGUAUAGCAUAAGAAACUAGUUAACUAGAGUGCAGGAGAGGUAAGCGGAAUUCCUAGUGUAGCGGUGAAAUGCGUAGAUAUUAGGAAGAACACCAGUGGCGAAGGCGGCUUACUGGACUGUAACAGACGCUGAGGCACGAAAGCGUGGGGAGCAAAC
rnacentral:rRNA from 1 species